rnacentral:rRNA from 1 species
UACGUAGGGUGCGAGCGUUAAUCGGAAUUACUGGGCGUAAAGCGUGCGCAGGCGGUUCGUUGUGUCGGUGGUGAAAUCCCCGGGCUUAACCUGGGAACUGCGUUUGUAACUGGCAAGCUAGAGUGUGGCAGAGGGGGGUGGAAUUCCAAGUGUAGCAGUGAAAUGCGUAGAUAUUUGGAGGAACACCAAUGGCGAAGGCAGCCCCCUGGGUUAACACUGACGCUCAUGCACGAAAGCGUGGGGAGCAAACAGG